AGAACGAACGCUGGCGGCAGGCUUAACACAUGCAAGUCGAACGGUUGUAGCAAUACAGCAGUGGCGCACGGGUGAGUAACGCGUGGGAACGUGCCUUUCAGUACGGGAUAACGUCGGGAAACUGACGCUAAUACCGUAUAUUCCCUCCGGGGGAAAGAUUUAUCGCUGAAAGAUCGGCCCGCGUAAGAUUAGGUAGUUGGUGGGGUAAUGGCCUACCAAGCCUACGAUCUUUAGCUGGUCUGAGAGGAUGAUCAGCCACACUGGAACUGAGACACGGUCCAGACUCCUACGGGAGGCAGCAGUGGGGAAUAUUGGACAAUGGGCGAAAGCCUGAUCCAGCCAUGCCGCGUGUGUGAUGAAGGCCUUAGGGUUGUAAAGCACUUUUGUCAGGGAAGAUAAUGACGGUACCUGAAGAAUAAGCACGGCUAACUUCGUGCCAGCAGCCGC
rnacentral:rRNA from 1 species